ensembl:snRNA U5 U5 spliceosomal RNA
GUUUCUCUUCAGAUCACAUAAACCUUUCUCUUUUUACUAAAGCUUUCCAUGGAGAGAAACAAUUCA